UACGUAGGGGGCUAGCGUUGUCCGGAAUCAUUGGGCGUAAAGCGCGUGUAGGCGGUCCGGUAAGUCCGCUGUGAAAGUCGGGGGCUCAACCCUCGAAUGCCGGUGGAUACUGUCGGGCUAGAGUGCGGAAGAGGCGAGUGGAAUUCCUGGUGUAGCGGUGAAAUGCGCAGAUAUCAGGAGGAACACCUAUUGCGAAGGCAGCUCGCUGGGACGUAACUGACGCUGGAGACGCGAAAGCGUGGGGAGCAAACAGG
rnacentral:rRNA from 1 species